UCUAAUAUACUUUCGUUUGUGAAUAAUCUUAAAAGAUAAGGCAAUACUACUGAUUCAUUUGUAUGAGCAGGAACCCGUACUGAAGGAAAUAUUAGACAAGGUCAGAUGCCUACAAGAAAAGAAAAAUUCACAAUGUGCGGAACCCGCUGUCGCAAGAAAUAAAAAAAUAACAGGGCGAGGAAGAGCGGGAGCGGAGAGGAUGAGGUAGAUCUAACCAACUGGCAAUAUUUUUCUGCAUUAUAAUUUUCGUUGUCGUUGCUGAUCACUUUGACAACACAAUCGUCAUUCAUACCACCGUCAGCGAUCACUACUGUGGAAGCCAUAAGCCCAGAAACCGCCCCAGAAUGAAGUGACGACGAGAAAAACGACGCUGCUUCGGUCAUGUCGCCUUGCAACGACGCCAGUGUGAAGCAGGGCGACAUUCCGACGCCUAAUCUAAUUGCACCAGAUAUGCUCUUAUAAAGACUUGCAUGUAUAAAAACCUGCAUACCUUCGACCAUUUGUGUAAAAAUAUGCUGUCAGGAAAAUGUUCAAACCAAUAGCCCUCAACAAUUCGAAAGCGUACGGUACUCAACCGCCUCGGAAGACAACACUACACAAAAUCCCAUGGCCUAGCGAUCUACCAGCCUACGAACCAC